GGAAGGAUGAGAAGCUUCGACUAAGGUUUGAUUCGAGCGCAGCGAGAAAGCGUUGCCGCAGGCAACGACCCGAAGGGUGAGGAGCGGAGCGACGAAUAAUCCUUCCCCCACCACCA
rnacentral:sRNA from 1 species